AACGAACGCUGGCGGCAGGCCUAACACAUGCAAGUCGAGCGCGCCUUCGGGUGAGCGGCGGACGGGUGAGUAACGCGUGGGAAUAUGCCCUUCUCUACGGAAUAGCCCUGGGAAACUGGGGGUAAUACCGUAUACGCCCUUUGGGGGAAAGAUUUAUCGGGGAAGGAUUAGCCCGCGUUGGAUUAGGUAGUUGGUGGGGUAAUGGCCUACCAAGCCGACGAUCCAUAGCUGGUUUGAGAGGAUGAUCAGCCACACUGGGACUGAGACACGGCCCAGACUCCUACGGGAGGCAGCAGUGGGGAAUCUUAGACAAUGGGGGCAACCCUGAUCUAGCCAUGCCGCGUGAGUGAUGAAGGCCUUAGGGUUGUAAAGCUCUUUCAGCUGGGAAGAUAAUGACGGUACCAGCAGAAGAAGCCCCGGCUAACUCCGUG
rnacentral:rRNA from 1 species